UUCCCCACGCCGCCGCCGCCCCACGCCAAAAUCUCCGGUUGAAAAAAGGGACAGAGUGACAGAGAAAGGGAUAGAGACCAUGAGCUCCUCAUCCCCGUCGGUGAAGCCCUGGACCUAGAUGACGUGGAAUCAGCCUUGCCGUCCGUCGCCUGCCCUCCGCCUUGUUCCAUCCACUACCACCACCAUCCAAGCUCCUGCGCCGAGAUUGUAGCACGGUUUAAUGAAGUUGUGAAAAAAUUGUUAUUGGAAGGAGCUUUGGAGACUUUUAGACGAUAUUUAGUUAGAGAAGAAGGCAUUAUACUUUAAUUUUUCCAGGUAGUCAAAGUACCCGGUAGCUUUGAGAUACCAGUGGUUGCACAAAAGCUUGGAAAGUCAGGAAACUUCCAUUCAAUAUGCAUUGGAGUUGUGGUAACUUCUUUCUCCUUCAAUUUAAAUUUUACUGUGACUAUAUAUAGCCUAUCCUCAAUCAUAUCUGUCAUUUUCUAGAGCACUUUUUCUAUGCCAGAUAUCAGUCCUUUGAUUCUAAGAUCUACUUCCAAAUGCUUCUGAUUAUUGAGUCCACAAUUAAUUCCCUGUCAAAAAAAGAAAAAAAAAGCUUUAUUCGAGUUACAAAUCUCCGUCAGAGAUAUGGGUUCAUUGAAUUUUGAAGUGGGGAACAUGCUGAUUAUGCCAUGAAGGUACUGAACAUUAUAAAACUUUAUGGAAAGCUGAUACGUGUGAACAAGGUAGCAUUAGGCCUAUUGAUGCUUCAACAACUUGAAUGAGUGAAUACAAUUGGAUUCUAUAAAUUAUGAAAAGUUCAUGGAGUUAUGUAAACAAUUGUAUUCUUUGUUAUCUAUGUAAAUAAUUUAUGUA